AGGAAGUGUUUCGAGUGUUGGCCCAAUUUAUGAACAUAUAUAUAAAGCGUAAUGGAUCCCCGCAAAAUCUGCGUUUGUCUUCUGUCAAUUUGACAUUGAUGAGCCUGUUCUCAUGGAGCCUGCUAAAAGGAGAAGGGUUUCCCCUGUAUGGAAACACUUUGAGCAGAUCGCUCCAAAAGGUGAAGUGUUUGUUGUGUGCCAAGCAACUGGGAUACAACAACAUCUCAUAUAUGCUGAGGCAUUAUCGUGCUUGUCAUGAAAAUAAUGAGUGUAAUAAAGUUGGAUCCAGCCAAGGAGAAGCUGGACCCUGUUCAAGAGCAUAUGGGAAAACCAAAAAAGAAACUGAUUCAGGAGGUUGAAACAAGGAGGUACAGAACCUUUCAAAUGCAUGAGCGAUUAGUAGAACUCAGGGAGCCUGUGGGGGCAGCUUUGGUCGGCUUAUAAACUGACAUUCCUGCGCUGACCUCUGAUGAGUACAAUAAUGUUUGUGGGUGCCUGUCUAUAUUGUCUCCUUUUCACGAGGCCACUGUGGAGCUGUCAGAGGAGAAAAAGGUAUCUGGCUCCAAAGUUGUGCCAUUAUUGAAAAUGGUUGAAAAGAUGCUCCAGGAGGAGGCAGCCAAGGCAACGGUCCCAGUAGCGAGGGAACUGGGAGAGCACCUCAUCUGGCUCCUUAGGGAAAAGGCUCCACAAAGUCCAAAGCAUGAGCAUUAUAUCGCUGGCAACGCUGCUAGACCCAAGAUACAAAUCACUUGGCUUCUUUAGCCCAACAAAGGCAGAUGAAGGAAUAAAAUGGGCCAUGAAUGGGCCAAUGUAAUUAAUUGAGUCUAGACAGUCACAUUCAACCCCAGCUACAGCUUCAACAUCACAGGAUGCUGUAGCUGAAAGACUUGGUUAGUAUUUUUGCAUUGGUUUAAAGUCAAUUUCAGUGUUAUGACCUCAUUCAUAUUACCUGAUUUUGCUUCUGAGGAAAUAAGUUGUGUCAUUUUGAUGCCAUGGUCAUGGAGGCCAGAAGAACCUGGCUGAACUGAAUAUCAGCAGAACACAGGAUCCCCUCCAGUACUGGGAGAGGCAGAGGUGCAUAUAUACAAACCUCUACAGGCUGGCUCUGGGAUACUUGUGCACCCCUGCCUGUAAAUGAGUUUCCAGAGAGGUUAUUUCCAAAAAUAGAAACUGACUGAGUCUAAGCACAGUGGAAAAAAAAAAUUGUUUCUUAAUAAAUGUGAAUGAAGUCACCACAGUACUCAUAAGCAUAAUCAUGGUCCCAUCUUUGAAAAACACUGCAACAAUCUUAAAAAUAUCUCAACAUAAACAUCUCAUGUACUACUUCAACAUUGACUGAAAUCUGUUUUUUGACACUAAUACACCUCUAUUACCAUUAGCUAAUUAGCUAUGCAUCAAAAAUAGAUUAAAUGAAUGAAUGAACCACACAAAAUCAUAUUAACAUGUUUUUACUCCUCUAGUUGUCAGUGACUAUUCCCAUGCUGACACUGGUGCAAGACAGCCAAGAGCUCCAUCAGAAAUAGUUCAACUGACAAUAAAGGUUUUGACCAGCAGGGGGGCUUGUGUGCACAUGAAGCCUCGAGAUAUUAACCUUUUUUUUUAACCAAUUGGAUGGAAAUCUAAGGAUUCAUGAGGCUUCAUCUGACCAUCACUACUGAUGAAGUCAAAGUAGAAUUUUAUGGCCACAAUCAGAAGAGGUCCCCCUCAUGCACCAAGAUGACAGCAGUAGAUGUUGAAGUCUUGUAAGUUGUGAGGUGGGGUCUCCAUCAAUCUGAGACAUCCCACAGAUGCUCAUGCAGAUUGAGAUCUGUGGAAUUUGGAUGCUGAGUGAAGACAUUGACCACUGGCUUGCCUUCUUCCCAUAGUUCAUGCUGGUGCCAUCUCUUCCCCAGUUAAGUGAUACACACAUGGGUUUCAUCAGACCAGGCCAUUGUCCAUGGUUCAGUUCUGAUGCUCAUGUGUCCACUGUAGGUGCUUUUGGCAGUGAACAGAGGUUAGCAUGAACACAACCGUUGGCAUGUACUAACCACUGCAUACCACAAUCACCCCACAAGACCAACUGAGAAGCUCUGACCCAGUCAUCUAGCCAUCACAAUUUGGUACUUGUCAAAGUUGCAUUUCUUACACUUGCCCAUUUUUUCUUCUUCCAUCACAUCAACUUUGACAACUGACUGUUCAUUUGCUUCCUGCUAUAUCCCACUCUUUGACAGGUACCACUUUAAUGAGAUGUUAUUCACUUCACCUGUCAGUUGUUUUAAUAUUGUGACUCAUCAGUGUAAAUACAGGAUAUCUUGGAGGCUAAUAGAGAUUGUAUGAAUAAUUUAUAUAUUGUUAAAACCAUGUAACUCUGUACCUGAUGAGGCGAAAAGCCUUUACUAAAGGCUUAUGAACAGAAGUUAAUUAUAUUUAACUGAACUCAUUGUAGUGGUGUACAUUAAAGCUUACCCUCUGAGGCUGUGCUAUUUACAUAUUUCAUUCUUUAUCCUGAUGGAAUGACUUUAUUCUACUUGCAAACAGACCUUUACUUAAGUAUUAUAUAAUUUUAAAAAAUAUUCAGUCAAAAAGCAAUUUAAGGAUUAUUUGUUAACACCGAUGUACUGCCCCUUUUUGCAGAGCAGGCUUACAAUACUCACUGAUGCUUCAUAGAUGUUUGUUUAUGCAAAAUGUAAAAUGUAAUAAAUGUAUAACAGUUUUUAAAUUGAUAGAUUAUGUAUAUUAUCAUUCAUUGCAUCAUUUUCUAAUCAGUAAUAAAAUGAA